UUAAGUGACUAAGCGUACAAGGUGGAUGCCUUGGCAAUCAGAGGCGAAGAAGGACGUGCUAAUCUGCGAAAAGCUUGGAUGAGUCGAUAAGAGGCGUUUAAUCCAAGAUAUCCGAAUGGGGAAACCCAGUAGAUGAAGAAUCUACUAUCAACAAGUGAAUUCAUAGCUUGUUGAGGCAAACCGGGAGAACUGAAACAUCUAAGUACCCCGAGGAAAAGAAAUCAACCGAGAUUUCGUCAGUAGCGGCGAGCGAAAGCGAAAGAGCCAGUAAGUGAUAGCAGUAUAGUGAGGAGAAUGUGUUGGGAAACACAAUCAAAGAGGGUGAUAAUCCCGUAUCUAAAAACCAUAUUGUGGUACUAAGCUAACGAGAAGUAGGGCGGGACACGUGAUAUCCUGUUUGAAGAAGGGGGGACCAUCCUCCAAGGCUAAAUACUCCUGAUUGACCGAUAGUGAACCAGUACUGUGAAGGAAAGGCGAAAAGAACCCCGGUGAGGGGAGUGAAAUAGAACCUGAAACCUUGUACGUACAAGCAGUGGGAGCCCCAUCACUUAAUCCGAUUGGAAGGUGAUGAAAAGCAACCGCACUUAAACAAUGGUAAGAGGAGCGAAGCGAGUCAAACCACCCAAAAGAAGCAGUGGGAUUAAGUGAUGGGGUGACUGCGUACCUUUUGUAUAAUGGGUCAGCGACUUAUAUUUUGUAGCGAGGUUAACCGAAUAGGGGAGCCGAAGGGAAACCGAGUCUUAACUGGGCGAAUAGUUGCAAGGUAUAGACCCGAAACCCGGUGAUCUAGCCAUGGGCAGGUUGAAGGUUGGGUAACACUAACUGGAGGACCGAACCGACUAAUGUUGAAAAAUUAGCGGAUGACUUGUGGCUGGGGGUGAAAGGCCAAUCAAACCGGGAGAUAGCUGGUUCUCCCCGAAAUCUAUUUAGGUAGAGCCUUGAGGUGACACCUUUGGGGGUAGAGCACUGUUUCGGCUAGGGGGCCAUCCCGGCUUACCAACCCGAUGCAAACUACGAAUACCAAAGAGUGAUACUCAGGAGACACACGGCGGGUGCUAACGUCCGUCGUGGAGAGGGAAACAACCCAGACCGCCAGCUAAGGUCCCCAAGUCUAUAUUAAGUGGGAAACGAAGUGGGAAGGCUUAGACAGCUAGGAUGUUGGCUUAGAAGCAGCCAUCAUUUAAAGAAAGCGUAAUAGCUCACUAGUCGAGUCGGCCUGCGCGGAAGAUGUAACGGGGCUGAAAUAUAGCACCGAAGCUGCGGCAUCAGAAUUUAUUCUGUUGGGUAGGGGAGCGUUGUGUAAGCGGAAGAAGGUUCAUCGAGAGGUGGGCUGGACGUAUCACAAGUGCGAAUGCUGACAUAAGUAACGAUAAAACGGGUGAAAAACCCGUUCGCCGGAAGACCAAGGGUUCCUGUCCAACGUUAAUCGGGGCAGGGUGAGUCGGCUCCUAAGGCGAGGCUGAAAAGCGUAGUCGAUGGGAAACAGGUUAAUAUUCCUGUACUUGGUAAAGCUGCGAUGUGGGGACGGAGUAGGUUAGGUUAUCGCACUGUUGGAUAUGUGCGUUUAAGUUGGUAGGUGGGAAGUUUAGGCAAAUCCGGACUUCCUUAACACAGAGAGAUGAUGACGAGGCUCUACGGAGCUGAAGUAACUGAUACCACACUUCCAGGAAAAGCCACUAAGCGAAAGGCUUUACUAAACCGUACUGAAAACCGACACAGGUGGUCAGGUAGAGAAUACUCAGGCGCUUGAGAGAACUCGGGUGAAGGAACUAGGCAAAAUAGCACCGUAACUUCGGGAGAAGGUGCGCCGGCGUAGAUUGUAAGGGCUAGCCCCUGAAGGUUGAACCGGUCGAAGAUACCAGCUGGCUGCAACUGUUUAUUAAAAACACAGCACUCUGCAAACACGAAAGUGGACGUAUAGGGUGUGAUGCCUGCCCGGUGCUGGAAGGUUAAUUGAUGGUGUCAUCGCAAGAGAAGCACCUGAUCGAAGCCCCAGUAAACGGCGGCCGUAACUAUAACGGUCCUAAGGUAGCGAAAUUCCUUGUCGGGUAAGUUCCGACCUGCACGAAUGGCAUAAUGAUGGCCAGGCUGUCUCCACCCGAGACUCAGUGAAAUUGAAAUCGCCGUGAAGAUGCGGUGUACCCGCGGCUAGACGGAAAGACCCCGUGAACCUUUACUAUAGCUUGACACUGAACAUUGAAUUUUGAUGUGUAGGAUAGGUGGGAGACUAUGAAGAUGAUACGCCAGUAUUGUUGGAGUCAUCCUUGAAAUACCACCCUUUAACGUUUGAUGUUCUAACGAAGAUGACGAAACGUGGUCUCGGACAGUGUCUGGUGGGUAGUUUGACUGGGGCGGUCUCCUCCCAAAGCGUAACGGAGGAGCACGAAGGUUUGCUAAUCACGGUCGGACAUCGUGAGGUUAGUGCAAUGGUAUAAGCAAGCUUAACUGCGAGACAGACAAGUCGAGCAGGUACGAAAGUAGGUCAUAGUGAUCCGGUGGUUCUGAAUGGAAGGGCCAUCGCUCAACGGAUAAAAGGUACUCCGGGGAUAACAGGCUGAUACCGCCCAAGAGUUCAUAUCGACGGCGGUGUUUGGCACCUCGAUGUCGGCUCAUCACAUCCUGGGGCUGAAGUAGGUCCCAAGGGUAUGGCUGUUCGCCAUUUAAAGUGGUACGCGAGCUGGGUUUAGAACGUCGUGAGACAGUUCGGUCCCUAUCUGCCGUGGGCGUAGGAGAAUUGGUUGGGGCUGCUCCUAGUACGAGAGGACCGGAGUGGACGCACCACUGGUGUUCCGGUUGUGUCGCCAGACGCAUUGCCGGGUAGCUAAGUGCGGAAGAGAUAAGUGCUGAAAGCAUCUAAGCACGAAACUUGCCAAGAGAUGAGUUCUCCCAAUCUAAGAGAUAGUAAGGGUUGUUUAAGACUAAGACGUAGAUAGGUCUGGUGUGUAAGUGUAGUGAUACAUUGAGCUAACAGAUACUAAUUGCCCGAGAGGCUUAACU
rnacentral:rRNA from 1 species